AUGCCGAUUUAUCGGCAUGGCAGACGGCUGAGUAAUACAUGGGAAUCUACCUCAAACUCGAGAAUAGCCCAUCGAAAGGUGGUGUAAUACUCGAUAGUUCCGUUUACGGUAAAGCUCCGGCGGUUUGAGAUGAGCCCAUGUCCUAUCAGGUUGUUGGUGGGGUAAUUGCCUACCAAGCCUAUGACGGGUAGCUGGUUUGAGAGGAUGAUCAGCCAGACUGGGACUGCGAUACGGCCCAGACUCCUACGGGAGGCAGCAACUAGGAAUCAUGCGCAAUGGACGAAAGUCUGACGCUGCGACGUCGCGUGAGGGAUGAAGGUCUUCGGAUCGUAAACCUCUUUUUAUCUGGGAACAAGUUCUGAGUGUACCAGAUGAAUAAGUGCCUGCCAACCACGUGCCAGAAGCAUCGGUAAUGCGUGGGGCACGAGCGUUAUCCGGAUUUACUGGGCGUAAAGAGAUGCGUAGGCGCCUUUUUUAAGUCACUUGUAAAAUCUCCCCGCUCAACGGGGAAACUGCAAGUGAUACUGAUUUGGUUGAGUCAAGUAGGGAGAGGGAAUUUCUGGUGGAGCGGUUAAAUGCGUUGAUUCCAGGAGGAAUACCAAGUGCGAAGCCACCUCUCUGGACUUGUACGGACGCUAAGGCUCGAAAGUUGGGGAGCAAAACGGAUUAGAUACCCGUGUAGUCCACACUGUAAACGAUCCCUGCUAGAUGUUUGCUUUGUUUUGUAGUUCUACGGCUUGCCGUAGGGUCCACAAACUGAGUGAGUGUCGCAGCUAACGCGUUAAGCAGGGCGCCUGGGGAGUACGGCCGCAAGGCUAAAACUCAAAGGAAUUGACGGGGACCCGCACAAGCAGUGGAGCGCCUGGUUUAAUUCGAUGGUCAGCGAAGAACCUCACCUGGGCUUGAACUGUAGCUGCACACCUUGGGAAACCAGGGGAGCCUUCGAGGGUGCUACAGAGGUGAUGCAUGGCUGUCGUCAGCUCGUGUCGUGAGAUGUAGGGUUAAGUCCCGUAACGAGCGCAACUCUUAUCUGAUGUUAUAAUUUCUUCAGAGACUGCCCCGUUAUAGCGCGGAGGAAGGAGGGGAAGACGUCCAGUC
rnacentral:rRNA from 1 species